CUGCACACAGCCUGCCCAGCUGAGGCGCAGGCAGCGGCGGUGCAGGUGUGGCCGUUUUGCACCAGGAACGCCUGUCUGAAGGGCCAGAUGUGAGGCCUCUGCAUGUGGCACUGAGCAAGCCAGUGAAGCCAGACAAAGCACAAAGAGGAAAAAACAGUGACCCGGGUUUUCCAGAACCACAUUCAAGAACUGAAGCGAAUUAUCGGCUCUGCUGAAUUUGGCCUCAGAACAUCCCACUGUAGAAGCAGUGAAAAGAAUCGGCAGCAGCUGCCGGCCUGACUGACCCCCGUGCCUGUUAACAGGGGGAUGCUGGGGUCCAGAAGAGUGAAUAAACAAUAGCUUUGUUGAAAGUGCUCCUGGAAAAAAAAGAAAAAUAAAAGCCAAUGAAUCAAAAGAAAAAAAAGUAGUUAAAGAAGAAACUUAAUUUCCAAUUGCUGAGUAAGACAUUAAAGAAUUACAGCAAGCAAAACUCUGGAGAAAAACAGCUAUUUAAUUUUUAGAGCUGUGGUUAGAAAUUAAAAUGAAAGAAUGCU